rnacentral:rRNA from 1 species
UACGGAGGGUGCGAGCGUUGUCCGGAAUCAUUGGCGUAAAGGGCGCGUAGGUGGCCGGGUCAGUUCGUGGUGAAGCGCGGGCUCAAACCCUGCGUCGGCCAUGAAUACUGCCGCGGCUGGAGCACUGUAGAGGCAGGCGGAAUUCCGGGUGUAGGCGGUGGAAUGCGUAGAGAUCCGGAAGAACGACCGGUGGCGAGGCG